UUUUUUUAAAAAUAAAAAAUUGGUAUACACGUUCUCUCACAUCCCGCACCUCCACUCUCCCUCAUUUGCAGGUUGGUUCCAAAAACCCCCCCAAACCUUCAUUCUUUCCAGAUUUACGCCCCCAUAUUUCUUGUUCCAACAAGUCUCACAUCUAAACCAGCAACAAAACAUAGAGAUUCAGAGGGGAAAGGGGAAGCGAACCAGAACGGAUUCCCGUGGAGGAACAACAGCGACGGACGUGGCGGCGCGUGAGAGGAGAAAUAGUGGCGGAUCGGAACCUCGCGAGGGAGAACGGAGUGUCGUGGUGGCACGAGAGGAGCAGAGAGAGGACGCGACCAAGAAGGAGGAGUGGAGUGUGGCGGCGACACAACAGAUCCGACGAGGUGCGUGGCGGUGGCUGGAAGAGGAGCGUGGUGGAGGCGAUUUAGAAGGAAGGAAGGAGGUGGUGACGGUCAAGAAGGAGGAGGAGGUGAUGGUGGAGCAGCCAUGGGAGAGGAAGGGAGUGGUGGCUGUGGUUACCACAGUCCUGACAACCCAUCACUCCUCCUCGGCUCCUCCUGCAAAGGCCCCAACCCUAACGCUGCAACGGAGGAGUAUAGAUCAGCUUGCCGGAAGCUCCUCACCGAAGCCACGAUGUCUACUGCCUCACGCAAGCUUCUGGAAAAUGAACCUGAGAACAAUCAAGCUUGAUUGGUGAUUUCUCAGAACCUCCAUCAAGGAGACUAAACACCUGACCUGAGCCCUGCCUCUCUCACCUGACCUGAGCCCUGCCUCUCUCACCAAAUGCAGAAGCACAUCAUUGAUAACUGUUGGUCUCUCCUUUGAGGCGUUCUGCUGCAAUAUUUUCUUUAAAUUGCUAACUCUCAAUACAAUUCUAUUAUCUAUUUGCAGAUAGCCUUGUUUGCCAGUUGCUGCGAUAAAAAUGGACUUUCUGUUGAUAUUCAUCUGGUAUGCGUUAUGAAUUGUUAUGUGUUGAUGUGUAAAAAUGGACUUAUGUUCUUUUUCAAUAGAUAAUUCUCAUGUUAGCUAGAAUGUUACAAUUUUCAUUUCUUUAUUUUAAUGGUAACAGGGGCACAUUGGGAAGUCUUGUAAGGGUGUUUUUCUUUGUAUUGUAUUGGUGAAGCAAGUAAAUUUGUGGUGGUAGUGAUUCUAGUUAAAGGAAAUAGAACUUCCUGGGUCUUGAGUCCCCAGAAUAUGUCUUCAGACCGCCCAUAAAUAUAUAU